rnacentral:lncRNA from 1 species
ACACAUGCUUUGAGUACCGGUAAAUAUUGAGUCUUCUACGUACCACAUCGAUUUGGGCAUGUUAUUUCCUGUUUUUCAUCUUUUUAUGUUUUAUAAUAAUUUCUCGUCAUUUUGAUAAUCCAAUUACGAAUUGACAAAUUAUAUGUAUGUUCGUAUUAUGGUAGAGAAAACUUUUCUACUUUAAUUUUCUGCUGAUAUCCUCAUUGGAUGAGUAAGUAAAUAGGAAUCAAGAACUAAGGAUAUAGUAAGAAUAAUUUCUAUUUUUGUAACAGAAUUACAGAACACAAAGAAUCAUUUCCAUAACAAAAUUAGCCGAGUCAAAUAUAUAAGUAUUUUGCUUUUCUCGUUUUAAUUAAUUGAAAACAAUAUUAACAAAAGAAGAAAUUAAUCAAUUGUCUGCUUCAACUUGUAGUGCUCCAUCACUACAGAUCGAUCGCCUAACCAAAUAACCAACAACUAGCUAGCAAGGGUUCAUCAUCAACAACUAGCUAGUCAACCAUUCUAAUUCUAUUUCGUGCGUGCAUGCGUGCGUUGGACUUACCUGGAGAGAAGUGGAGGCAUACGAUGCACCCAUGCAUGUUCCAUAAAUGGUCAUGUUCUUCUUCGUCACCGAUCACGACCCUUAUUUUAGCUAGAGAAAUCGAUAUGGCGGCAGAGAUCUAAGAAUUAAGAACAACAAUCUGGAUCUGCCUGCUACACUUUCUACGUUGAUUCUUACUCAAUAUAGAUAGAUAUCCUUCUUACCAGAACAGGAAACUCAACCACUUCUAUAAUUUUAAGAACAAACAAGUGAAAAUAUAGUCUGUAUGUGGAUAAUUUUAUUUAGUUAGCACAUCUGGACGACUUUGAUUUAAUUUUAUUAAGCAUUUGAUGGCCUGCUUGAAAAAGUAGUCUCAACACGCCUCUGCAUGUGUGGUGAAUUUUCAAGUCUAACACGUGGACAACAUUUGGGGUGACGUGGAGUUGGUGUGUCCGUUCCGAGAAAUUUUUCAAUGCUCCCGAAGGACCACGUGACAAUCUAACGUGGUCCUCCAUUGCCAAUUAAUUUUUGACACGUGGAUUUAUUACAACUAAAAUAUAAACUAAGGUUUUCUAUAUUUUGUGAAAUGAUCGUCUUGGGUUUUUUAUGAGUUCGGCCUAGGGUUUAGGGGUUAGGGUUUAGGGUAUAGGGUUUAGGAUUUAGGGUUUAAAAUAUCAACAAGAAACCCAAAAUGGUCUUUGAAAAAAUCACGAAAAUUGUUUUUCAUCAUGAAAAUUUACAUGUCAAAAUUUAAAUUUGACACGUGGAUUUAUUACAACUAAAAUAUAAACUAAGGUUUUCUAUAUUUUGUGAAAUGAUCGUCUUGGGUUUUUUAUGAGUUCGGCCUAGGGUUUAGGGGUUAGGGGUUAGGGGUUAUGGUUAAGGGUAUAGGGUUUAGGAUUUAGGGUUUAGGGGUUAGAAUUUAAAAUAUUAACAAGAAACUCAAAAUGGUCUUUGACAAAAUCACGAAAAUUGUUUUUCAUCAUGAAAAUUUACAUGUCAAAAUUUAAAUGGAAUUGAGGACCACGUUAGACUGCCACAUGGUCAUUCGGGAGCACUAAAAAAUUCCUCUGGCCGUUACACAUUCACACGUGGACAUGAGUAACCCACUCUAAUAUUAUGGUAAAAUAGUCUGGAGUUCACAUCCAAAACAAAUUGGUAAUGGGUGGAGUGACCCAAACCCUUAUAAACCCACAUAUUUGGAUUGAUAUCUCAACACGCCCCCUCACAUGUGGUGAAAUUUCAAGCCUAACACAUGGACACCAUUUGGGUGACGUGGAGUGUGUGUGACCAUUAGGCUUCACACAUGGAAUGGGUAACCUGCUUUGAUAAAGUAGUCUGAGAUUCAUAUCCAAAACCAAUUGACAAUGGAUAAAGAGACCCAAACCCUUAUAAACCCACAUAUAAGGUCCUAUAUUCCCGAUGUGAGAUUAAUAUCUCAACAUUGGUAUGCCAAUAUGUCAUCGAUGAAUAUACAUACUGGCAUUGCUAAACAAUAUGGAGAAAUGCAUAAUUACAACUUGAGAUAUGUUAAAAAGUCGAUUACAUAUAUCUGUAUCAAAGUUGACGAAAUUAAUCAAUUUUAAUCAAAUCGAUUGAAAAUCUGAAAGUGAUCGAUGCACGCAGACGACAAACUUCCAUGGCCUCCACAUGAGAUGACGAGUAUUUUGGCUGAUAAUGGAGAUUAUUAAACUAAAUCUAGCAUAAUUGUCCACGACAAUUUGGUUUAUUAAUUAGUUAUAUAAAUCUCUACUUGAGUCGUUCGAUUCUUAUAAUAAGCUAGAUCUUAUUAUGGAUGGAUAAGUUCUUAUAUAAUAUAUAAUUGUUGAAUUUGAACCUUUGCACCACAUUAAAAUGAUGAUCUGCAUUCUUUG